UACGUAGGGUGCAAGCGUUAAUCGGAAUUACUGGGCGUAAAGCGUGCGCAGGCGGUUCGGAAAGAGAGAUGUGAAAUCCCAGGGCUCAACCUUGGAACUGCAUUUUUAACUCCCGAGCUAGAGUAUGUCAGAGGGGGGUAGAAUUCCACGUGUAGCAGUGAAAUGCGUAGAGAUGUGGAGGAAUACCGAUGGCGAAGGCAGCCCCCUGGGACAAUACUGACGCUCAGGCACGAAAGCGUGGGGAGCAAACAGG
rnacentral:rRNA from 1 species